UACGAAGGGGGCUAGCGUUGUUCGGAAUUACUGGGCGUAAAGCGCGCGCAGGCGGCUAUCCAAGUCAGUGGUGAAAGCCCGGAGCUCAACUCCGGAACUGCCAUUGAAACUGUUUAGCUUGAGGACGAGAGAGGUGAGUGGAAUUCCCAGUGUAGCGGUGAAAUGCGUAGAGAUCGGGAGGAACACCAGUGGCGAAGGCGGCACCCUGGACCAGCACUGACACUGAGGCACGAAAGCGUGGGGAGCAAACAGG
rnacentral:rRNA from 1 species